AUGCUUGCUGAUUUGGAUGACACAAGCAAAGGUAAGAUUAAAUGCUCUCACUGUGUAAGAAUUGGGACUGAGUAUCCUUGGAUUGCAACAGCAGGAGCAGAGGACCAGACUGUGUCACAGCUUCUUACUCCACCCUGCAGCGAAUGGUCUGAGAGGACAGAGACUUGCCCAGGGAAGAGUAACAGAGAAGACUGA
rnacentral:lncRNA from 1 species